rnacentral:rRNA from 1 species
AUUGAACGCUGGCGGCAGGCCUAACACAUGCAAGUCGAGCGGAGCGGCGGACGGGUGCGUAAUGCCUAGGAAUCUGCCUGGCAGUGGGGGAUAACGUCCGGAACCGGGCGCUAAUACCGCAUACUAUCAGAUGAGCCUAGGUCGGAUUAGCUAGUUGGUGGGGUAAAGGCCUACCAAGGCGACGAUCCGUAACUGGUCUGAGAGGAUGGUCAGUCACACUGGAACUGAGACACGGUCCAGACUCCUACGGGAGGCAGCAGGGGGGAAUAUUGUACAAUUGGAGAAAGCCUGGUCCAGCCAUGCCGCGUGUGUGAAGAAGGGCUUCGGAUUUUAAAGCACUUUAGGUUGGGAGGCGGUACCAACAGAAUAAGCACCGGCUAACUUCGUGCCAGCAGCCGCGGUAAUAC